GCUAUACAUGCAGUCGAGCGGACAGAAGGGAGCUUGCUCCCGGAUGUUAGCGGCGGACGGGUGAGUAACACGUGGGUAACCUGCCUGUAAGACUGGGAUAACUCCGGGAAACCGGAGCUAAUACCGGAUAGUUCCUUGAACCGCAUGGUUCAAGGAUGAAAGACGGUUUCGGCUGUCACUUACAGAUGGACCCGCGGCGCAUUAGCUAGUUGGUGGGGUAAUGGCUCACCAAGGCGACGAUGCGUAGCCGACCUGAGAGGGUGAUCGGCCACACUGGGACUGAGACACGGCCCAGACUCCUACGGGAGGCAGCAGUAGGGAAUCUUCCGCAAUGGACGAAAGUCUGACGGAGCAACGCCGCGUGAGUGAUGAAGGUUUUCGGAUCGUAAAGCUCUGUUGUUAGGGAAGAACAAGUGCGAGAGUAACUGCUCGCACCUUGACGGUACCUAACCAGAAAGCCACGGCUAACUACGUGCCAGCAGCCGCGGUAAUACGUAGGUGGCAAGCGUUGUCCGGAAUUAUUGGGCGUAAAGGGCUCGCAGGCGGUUUCUUAAGUCUGAUGUGAAAGCCCCCGGCUCAACCGGGGAGGGUCAUUGGAAACUGGGAAACUUGAGUGCAGAAGAGGAGAGUGGAAUUCCACGUGUAGCGGUGAAAUGCGUAGAGAUGUGGAGGAACACCAGUGGCGAAGGCGACUCUCUGGUCUGUAACUGACGCUGAGGAGCGAAAGCGUGGGGAGCGAACAGGAUUAGAUACCCUGGUAGUCCACGCCGUAAACGAUGAGUGCUAAGUG
rnacentral:rRNA from 1 species